rnacentral:rRNA from 1 species
GACGAACGCUGGCGGCGUGCCUAAUACAUGCAAGUAGAACGCAGUUGCGAACGGGUGAGUAACGAGUAGGUAACUGCCUGGUAGCGGGGGAUAACUAUUGGAAACGAUAGCUAAUACCGCAUACUACCAGCUGGACCUGCGUUGUAUUAGCUAGUUGGUGAGGUAACGGCUACACACGCGAACGAUACAUAGCCGAACGGAGAAGGUGAUCGGCGACACUGGGACUGAGACACGGCCCAGACUCCUACGGGAGGCAGAAGUAGGGAAGCGUCGGCAAGGGGGGGAAACCUGACCGAGCAACGCCGCGGGAGGGAAGAAGGUUUUCGGAUCGUAAAGCUCUGUUGUUAAGGAAGCGGUACUUAACCAGAAAGGGACGGCUAACUACGUGCCAGCAGCCGCGGUAAUUC